GAUGAACGCUGGCGGCGUGCCUAAUACAUGCGAGUCGAGCGAACAGAUGAGGAGCUUGCUCCUCUGACGUUAGCGGCGGACGGGUGAGUAACACGUGGAUAACCUACCUAUAAGACUGGGAUAACUUCGGGAAACCGGAGCUAAUACCGGAUAAUAUAUUGAACCGCAUGGUUCAAUAGUGAAAGACGGUUUUGCUGUCACUUAUCGAUGGAUCCGCGCCGCAUUAGCUAGUUGGUAAGGUAACGGCUUACCAAGGCAACGAUGCGUAGCCGACCUGAGAGGGUGAUCGGCCACACUGGAACUGAGACACGGUCCAGACUCCUACGGGAGGCAGCAGUAGGGAAUCUUCCGCAAUGGGCGAAAGCCUGACGGAGCAACGCCGCGUGAGUGAUGAAGGUCUUCGGAUCGUAAAACUCUGUUAUUAGGGAAGAACAAAUGUGUAAGUAACUAUGCACGUCUUGACGGUACCUAAUCAGAAAGCCACGGCUAACUACGU
rnacentral:rRNA from 1 species